rnacentral:misc_RNA from 1 species
AUGCCAAGCGUCAUCGCCCGCCGCCCAAAGGGCGUCGUCACACUUCCACGUUCCAUUUUCUUCACCUUUUCCAAGGCAAAAGAAAUCCGUUCGCCGAAACGACGUCAAAAAUGCUUGACACUGAUUCGCGGAAGUGGGAUUCUCUAG